rnacentral:rRNA from 1 species
AUAAACCGGAGGAAGGUGGGGAUGACGUCAAGUCAUCAUGGCCCUUAUGGGCUGGGCUACACACGUGCUACAAUGGCCGGUACAGAGGGUUGCCAACCCGCGAGGGGGAGCCAAUCUCAGAAAACCGGUCGUAGUCCGGAUCGCAGUCUGCAACUCGACUGCGUGAAGUCGGAAUCGCUAGUAAUCGCGAAUCAGCAUGUCGCGGUGAAUACGUUCCCGGGCCUU